GACAAGCAGCCGCCCUGGAAGGAGAGGCAGCUGCAAGGAGAGCCCAGCGCCGCGGCUACAAAGCACUAGGGUGGAGCUGCGGAAUAGCGGGCGGGGUGGGAGGGCGUUUUCGAAGGAUCCCAGAAAACCCAUAGACUCUGUCUUUAAUUACUUGCCAUUUCUACCCUAGGCCAUCUAAACUUUGCUCAGGCGAGAAGAGUACGUGAGAGGCCCGUUCCCUUGAUGUGCAAGAGAGCUAAUGAAAGACUGACCUUGCUCAAAACCACGCCGCCCAGGACCCAGCUCUGGCUCUGGACAGUUAAACUAAAACCAUUUUCAACUUCUUCCCGGCCUUUUAUCCACCAGCAUAGCCUCAUGCCUUGCACAAAUGCCACCCAGAGAGUGUCUUCAUUCCCUCUGAUUUGGGAGAGCAUUUUGGUCUUUAUUCUUUUUAUCGUUGUUUUCUUCUUUUUGUUUGCUCUGCUCUAACCGGGGGCUUUAUUUUUUCUACCCAGAGCACUUAAUUUUUUUUUUUUAACAGCAAAGCCUCUGGAUGCCGCUUGAUUUGCUUGAUUCUGUUUUCUGCUUCCAGAAUCCUAACAAAUUUGGAAUCUUCCACCGACCAGCAUAAACCAGGACGUUGCUAUUGGGUUAUUUAUUUGAGCUCAUUUUUGCCAAUCCAUAAAGUACAGAUUUGCUACAAAGUUAAGGUAAGCCCUUUUUACAAAACUAUGAUUAUAAUUUAGAAGAGGGGGUGUGAGUUUCAAUUUCCAGAGUUCAACUCCUGAGAGAAGAUAAAUAAACCAAGCAGAAAAGUC
rnacentral:lncRNA from 1 species